UAUCACAAGCUCUCCCGACACUUCUGUCUAUAGGAUGGAAGUCGUCACAUUUCGAGGGGGAGUAUCACAAGCACUCCCGACACUUCUGUCUAUAGGAUGGAAGUCGUCACAUAUCGAGGGGGAGUAUCACAAGCUCUCCCGACACUUCUGUCGCUCUAGCCAGAAGUCGUCAAAGAAAUUGAGCACGGUAAAAUCUGUCGCUUCGGCCAGAUUUACCGAGGACAAAUUUGAGCAAAGGAGGGACACACGAAAGGAUGUUUUAUUUUUUGCAGGAAAGGUUCUAAUAGUGAACCAGACUCUGAUAGUGAGUCAGACUCUGAUAGUGAGUCAGCAGGUUCUGUAUCCGAGGCGAGAAUCGGAUUCUGAUAGUGGAUCUGUAGCCUUGGUCAGAA
rnacentral:lncRNA from 1 species